rnacentral:rRNA from 1 species
CCUACGGGGAGCUGCAGUGGGGAAUAUUGGACAAUGGGCGAAAGCCUGAUCCAGCCAUGCCGCGUGUGUGAAGAAGGCCUUCGGGUUGUAAAGCACUUUCAGUGGGGAAGAAAGCCUUGGGGCUAAUACCCUCGAGGAAGGACAUCACCCACAGAAGAAGCACCGGCUAACUCCGUGCCAGCAGCCGCGGUAAUACGGAGGGUGCGAGCGUUAAUCGGAAUUAAUGGGCGUAAAGCGCGCGUAGGCGGUCUGAUAAGCCGGUUGUGAAAGCCCCGGGCUCAACCUGGGAACGGCAUCCGGAACUGUCAGGCUAGAGUGCAGGAGAGGAAGGUAGAAUUCCCGGUGUAGCGGUGAAAUGCGUAGAGAUCGGGAGGAAUACCAGUGGCGAAGGCGGCCUUCUGGACUGACACUGACGCUGAGGUGCGAAAGCGUGGGUAGCAAACAGGAUUAGAUACCCCAGUAGUC